ACGAACGCUGGCGGCGUGCUUAACACAUGCAAGUCGAACGGUGAAGGGGCCUGCUUUUGUGGGCCCUGGAUGAGUGGCGAACGGGUGAGUAACACGUGAGUAACCUGCCCCCUUCUUCUGGAUAACCGCAUGAAAGUGUGGCUAAUACGGGAUAUUCUGGGUCUGUCGCAUGAUGGGUCUGGGAAAGAUUGCGCCUUUGGGUGUUUUUGGUGGGGGAUGGGCUCGCGGCCUAUCAGCUUGUUGGUGGGGUGAUGGCCUACCAAGGCGGUGACGGGUAGCCGGCCUGAGAGGGUGGACGGUCACACUGGGACUGAGACACGGCCCAGACUCCUACGGGAGGCGGCAGUGGGGAAUAUUGCACAAUGGGCGCAAGCCUGAUGCAGCGACGCCGCGUGAGGGAUGGAGGCCUUCGGGUUGUAAACCUCUUUCGCCAGUGAAGCAGGCCUGCUCCUUGUGGGUGGGUUGACGGUAGCUGGAUAAGAAGCGCCGGCUAACUACGUG
rnacentral:rRNA from 1 species